UUAAAAAAAACACACAUUUCUUACUUCUUAGCUAACUUAUCAUAAAAAAGAACAUGCAUCAUCAAAAUCCAAUGAACAUAACAAAGAGAGAGAAAGACGUACCCAUUGCUGAUCUCCGGCGUCGCAGUCACUUGUUUCAGCUAGGUUUCUGCUUUUAUAUAGAUGAUGAUUCAGUGUGGAGCUAGGGUUUACCUCACCUUUAGUAAGGCCCAUUAGCUUUCUUUAUUGGGCGUUUGCUACGCAAUUGGUAAGGCCCAUUAAGAAAAAGCCUUUUUGGCAAGGGAGGUACAGUUCCCACCUUUUUUCUCAAAACCAGAUCAGAUCGAUGGCUACAAUUGCAAGAAGUAGAAAAAAAAAUGUUAUUGGAAAAUAUCAAAGAAAACAAUACAAAAAGAUCAUUAAA